UUUUUUCAUUGGAAUAAUUCUUUGACAUGGCGCCUGGCAUUUUUUGUAAGACGUAAUUAUCAUAGUUAAUUGAACUUAACAGAUUAAACGUGAAAGGGUAACAAAUUAAACGUAAAAGGUACUAAAUUAUAGUGUAAUAACAAUAGUUGUAGCGUAGCGUUUUUUCUUAAAAACGAAAUCGAUACGGUGAAAAAUUAAAGCGCCUGCAAAAUUGUAAUAGCAAUGUAAAUUUAAAAUGAGUAAAACUUGGAAACCACAAAUGAAAUGGCUCAAUUUAUAAAUAAAUAUGAAAGUACUAAAAAGGUACUAAAAUUUGGCUUUUAUAGAAUUUAUCAAUAAUCGCGGGAUCAUUGCGUAAUAAAAUACACCCGCCGUUCUGACUGUCAGAAUGGCGGGUGUAAUGUUUUUUAGUAAUAACUUUAAAUACCGUGAGGUA